rnacentral:lncRNA from 1 species
UUAAAAUUUUAACUUAUUUUGUUUGCUUCAUUUUCUUUGACCUAGUAGUACCCUUUGCUUAAACCGUUCGGUUUCAAACCAUAACUGGAACCGUUAAUUUUUGGUUCGGUUCCGAAAUCGUGGCCACCCCUAGUAAGUAGUGCUUCAUUAUUUAUCAUGGAGGAUUUAUAAAGCUUUAUCUUUGAUAUUUAUAAAUAUAUCCUUAUAUUUUUAUAUUUAUGCAUUUCCUCUGUUUUAU